UGAGGAAUCUUCCACAAUGGGGGCAACCCUGAUGGAGCAACGCCGCGUGCAGGAUGAAGGCCUUCGGGUUGUAAACUGCUUUUAUAAGUGAGGAAUAUGACGGUAACUUAUGAAUAAGGAUCGGCUAACUACGUGCCAGCAGCCGCGGUCAUACGUAGGAUCCGAGCGUUAUCCGGAGUGACUGGGCGUAAAGAGUUGCGUAGGCGGUUAGUUAAGCGAAUAGUGAAACCUGGUGGCUCAACCAUACAGACUAUUAUUCGAACUGGCUAACUCGAGAAUGGUAGAGGUAACUGGAAUUUCUCAAGUAGGGGUAAUAUCCGUAGAUAUGAGAAGGAACACCAAUGGCGUAGGCAGGUUACUGGACCAUUUCUGACGCUAAGGCACGAAAGCGUGGGGAGCG
rnacentral:rRNA from 1 species